UACGGAGGGUGCAAGCGUUGUCCGGAUUUAUUGGGUUUAAAGGGUGCGUAGGCGGCUUCAUAAGUCCGUGGUGAAAGCCAACAGCUCAACUGUUGAACUGCCAUGGAUACUGUGAGGCUUGAGUACAGACGAGGUAGGCGGAAUGGAUCGUGUAGCGGUGAAAUGCAUAGAUACGAUUCAGAACACCGAUUGCGUAGGCAGCUUACUAGGCUGUAACUGACGCUGAGGCACGAAAGCGUGGGGAGCGAACAGGG
rnacentral:rRNA from 1 species